rnacentral:lncRNA from 1 species
AUAACGAGGAAGAAGAAAGAAUAGGAGUGAUGAAGAAAAGAGAAAAGAGGAGGGAUUAUGAGAAAACUUAACGGGGAAAAAGGGAACACUUUAGCUGCUGUUGCUGCUGCCGUAGCUGUUGCUGCUAUAGAUGUGGUGAAGCAGUGAAGGAGUCCUUUAAUUGUUGGUGUAGGUUCUAAACUGUAUGUGUGUAAGUACGAAUUGUUUAACCUCUGGUCAGUUCCGAUCAAGUAGACCUAUGGUCGAUCAAAAAGCAUUCCAGCCGUGACCAUCCCGUUUUUCUGUUUUACAGAUACAGUGUAUCCCAGAUCACAUCCAAUGUGUCCUUUUCUAAAGACGGUAGGGCGUGAUUCGAGAGAGAUUUGGUUGCUGUUUCUAGCAGGUUGACUGACCACGUAGAUGUUUCUUUGUUGGCUAUUAGUAAGAGUGGUGUGCUAAGGAGGCGGAGUGAGGUGAAGAAGGAAUGAUUGCCACUAUUAGGAAGUGAAAAAAGAAACAAAAAAUAGGGAGAGAUAGAAAGAGCGAGCGAGGAAGAGAGGGAGUGAGAGAAAGGCCUUCCCGUCAAUGCCUAGCAGUUAUACAUCCUAACACUCACAUGCAUCAUCUGAAUGCUGUAUGUCGGUAAUUGUAAUAUCUCGACACAUGUAAUCAGAGAUAGAUAGAUUGUGAGUUAUUAGUGUAAAGAGAGAGAGAGAAAAAUAGAAAGCGUGUCGGUGUGUGAGUGUGUGGGAAAAAAAGAGGGGAUGCUCUAAAAGAAAGCAAGUAAGUCUGUGAGUGAGAAGGGAGACACAAAGUAAGAAAGAGAAGAGAGAGACUGAAAUGUGUUGGUAUUCCUUGUUACGGCCGACUCCUAUCACUUGUCCUUGCCAAAGAAGCGAAAAGCUAGAUUGAAUUAGGGAGAAAGAAUGAUAAGUCUGCUAGCAGAUUAGUACGGACACAUGGAGAAGGCGAAUGAACAAUGACCAUGCGGACCAGACUUCCGGAUACCCCAAUUUACCAACAGUUGUUGCAGCACAUUAUGGCUUAGCUGAGAACUUGUUCGCUUCGAGUUCGUAACUCAGGUAGGGGAAGCAUUGUUUUCUAAUCCUCACACAUUCUUCUAUGUACCAUGCUUACACAACGAAUCCUUUGUUUGCUUUACAACUUUUUCUUCUAUUUUAACACCGGCUCUAUGUCAUACUGUUUACCCGCAAAAAGUAUUGGGUGAUAGAAAUAUUAAAAAUCUCUCAUACAACGUGCAUGAUUGAAACAUGAACCUUGCACAUCUUUGUACACAUUUGGUUCGCAAGUCGGCAAGCUAGCAGAAUGCCUUGAGGUGUUUGUCCUGGCUCUUUACGCUCUGAGUUCAAAUCCCGCCGAGGUCAACCUUGCCCUUCAUCCCUUCAGAGUGGAUAUUAAUAAAGUACGAGUCAAGUACUACGGUUGAUAAUAGCUUCUAAUCCCGUCCCUCAAAAUUGCCGACCUUGUGCCUAGAUUAGAAACCAUUAUUUGUGUCUGCAUGCGCGUUUACAUUGACAAUGUAUUUACUAUAUACUUGCUCAGUGAGUUUUAGAAACCUCCUCUAAAGGCUCACAAAAUAUAUACAUAUGCACAGAAGUGAGUGUAUAUGCACAAAGCAUGCAGAAUAUUACUUUUAUGUUUACUAUGAUAUAUAUAUUUUUACGAUGGAGGCACAAACUUAAGAUUCGCUUUUAUUAAUUUGUUCGACAUGUAGCGAGUUACUUCUCUGAUUAAAUAACCUGACACACAAACAAGCUAAGAACCAAAAUUCCCGAGAGAGAACAUAAUCGCACUUAAUCAAUUUGCAACCCUCUUUUUUCCCCACUUUUUUUUAUUUAGCGAGAACAUAUCAACAAGAAGGUAGAUCUAUCGUAGUUUCUGAAGUUUCUUUCUUCUUUCAUUCUCAAUCACCAAAACCUGCAAUACCGCUGAUGUAACAUAUAUAUAAUAUAAUAUAAUAUAAUAUAAUAUAUAUUUGUGUGUGUGUAAAUGCUUUUGAGGACAUCUAGAAUUGGACAAAGUAAAAAAGGACAGUAUCGGUUUGGGAAAAGGAAAUAAGCUGUAUUAUGCAUACACACAAACACAUAAAAAUAUGUAUAUACGUGUAUGCAUAUAGAUUUAUGUGUGUGUGGUUUUGUUGUUUGACCUCAGGUCAGCCAUCAAAGAUGUAUUUUAACCGUAUCCACCCCUUGUUUUUAGGGGUAUGUAGAAUUACAUUAGCCAUGUGUCUUCGCCUUAUUUAAGAUAAAUAGGGCAUAGAGUAAUAAAGAUUUGGGCUGCUAUUUCUAGCGUAUGGAACAACCACUUUGAGAUUCUCAUUCUCAUUUAUCUUUUUGUAAUUUUAUUAAGUCUUAUUUAUGCAAUUUAUUUUACAAACUGUAUUUGCUGUCCCCUUUCCGAUAUUAUUCUAGUGUGUCCGUGUCCGUGUGCGUGUGUAUAAGUUGUUGCUAGCAAUCCUUUUUGUAGCAACAGUCAGAUUGACAACAAUAGGACACUAUCGUGUAUGUUCCCUCGCCUCUUGUAGUCUGUUGCGACAAAACAAGAAACAGACCUGAGCUUGCUGCCAUCCAGUGAUUCCAACAGCUGCAUAGCUUUACACUUAGUAUCAUUCGCAUUCUUCACAUGCCUUUUAUUCAGACCCCUAUCUGUCUAUCUAUUAUAAAUGGAUGGAGAAAUGAAGAUAUGUAGACAGUUUUUGUUGUUGUUGUUUUUAUCUAAUUUCUGAAAGAUGAGUGUGUGUACGUGUACCUAUAUAGUAGAAGUGCAUAUAUGCGUGUGUCAUAAAUUAAUCACCCGCAUACAAAUCAAACUGACAUAAUAUAUAUAUAUAUAUAUAUAUAUAUAUACACACACACACACACAUAUACACUUGGUGUAAAUUGUUUACGCAUGAGGGUGUGUUUUUUUUGUAUUUGUCUCGCCUAUAGGAAAAGCUUAUGUGCCCUGUGAAUCCUGUUAAUGACGCCGACAACGUUCCGCUUGAACUAUUUGCGACUUAUUCGUCUAAGUGUAUUUAAAGUACUUUUGUAUUCAUAAGAGUGAAUGCAGAUACAAACAUAUAGAUAACACACUAUAGCCGGUGUGAGAUCGUCUAUGUGGUCGUAGAAAUAGAAGCCAAAUCUCCCUCAUCUCACCCUAGUAUUUUAU